GGAGAUAGAACUAUCAGCUUCAAUGUACUCCACUGUGGUCAGGGAGGUAAAAUCUGCCAUCUUUUGAUCUGCUUCGCUGCCAAAUACAGGAAGGCAAGAUCUGCAAUCUUCAAUCUAUUCCACUGCCAAAUACAGGGAGAUAGAGUUAUCGGCUUCAAUGUACUCCACUGUAGUCACAUGGAGGUAAAAUCUGCCAUAUUUGAUCUUCAAUCUAUUCCACUGCCAAAUGCAGGGAGAUAGAGUUAUCGGCUUCAAUAUACUCCACUGUAAUCAGGGAGGUAAAAUCUGCCAUCUUUGAUCUGCUUCGCUGUCAAAUUCAGGAAGGCAAGAUCUGCAAUCUUCAAUCUGCUCUGCUACAAACGAGAGAGGCAAGGUUUGUCUUUGAUUUUUACUGAUCUGUUCUCUAGGGAACAUGACCUGUAUAAUGAACCUAAUUAUGCCUAAUGAUUAGGAUGGCAUGAUCAGAAUGGAUCAAAUGUUCCUAACUAGAUGUGCGUGAAUGACAUUUGAAUGAAUGCAGAAUGUCAU
rnacentral:lncRNA from 1 species